UGGGCUGUAGCCAAGUGGUAAGGCAACGGACUUUGACUCCGUCAUGCGUGUGUUCGAAUCCCACCAGCCCAGCCA
rnacentral:tRNA from 1 species